AGUAGGCCGGUAAUAAGUCUGAAAUUGACAAGGCGGAUAAAGAAUGGUGGUCGCAUCUCGUACCCUCUUGACGUCACGAUUGUAAACAAACCCAACUGCGGAGGGUUUGAGGUUUACGCUGCAAUCUGACGCUACAAGGUAUUGGUAUUGUAUAGUCACUUGUUCAUUGUAAGUAUUUCUGGCGUUGAUAGCCCGAAUUUAAAGUGAAAUUACUGCGGUGUAUUUUAUUUUGCUAUCUUUAUCAGUAAAUAAUUUAAAAACCGUGAGAGAUUUUAUUUUAUUUUUAUUUUAUUUUAUUUUUUUUAAUUUUUUUUUAUUUUUUUUUUAAUAUUUCUUAUUUUCUCCAUGGAUACCUGAUUAUCAAUAUAAUUUUUCGGGGGAUCCCCCGAACCUCCUUAUCUGGGGGGAGUCCUCCCCUUGUUUGUCAGAAAUCCCCGACCCCCUUUCCGUUUUUCCAAUUUUCACACUUGUCUCCCAAAUUUCCGAAAGUACAAAUUUCUCCUUGAAGCAUCAAAAAGAAGAACGAUUGGACGUUAUUUCCAAAUUUUUAAGGAAAAACUACCGCAUUACAGCUCUCAAAAAUCCGAAAUAUACUAAGUCCAAAAUGAUAGGUCCAGUUUCUUCAGAAAGUUGCACAUGUGCGUGAAGGAACGAGAACAUCGGGUACAUUUCUUUAAACACAAAUUUCAGCCAGAAAUAUUAAACAUUAGAAUGAUUGUAACUUCCUUGCAAAUUCUCAGUAAAAAUUUUAACUCAGACUACGAUCUGAAAGCGUUUCAUUAGGAAGGAAAACUCAUAAUUCCGUUUGGAAGUUGUAUGAGCCUCGCGCCGCGGCAUCGCAUCGGGUACACUUCGGGUACAUUUCAAAUCUCGCGGUAAAAGCCCGUACCCUCUGCACGUCACACAUGUUCAAGAUGGCAGCCAAAAUCGAAAUGCGACCACCAUUCUUUAUCCGCCUUG